AGUGAACGCUGGCGGUAGGCCUAACACAUGCAAGUCGAACGGCAGCACAGGAGAGCUUGCUCUCUGGGUGGCGAGUGGCGGACGGGUGAGGAAUACAUCGGAAUCUACUCUGUCGUGGGGGAUAACGUAGGGAAACUUACGCUAAUACCGCAUACGACCUACGGGUGAAAGCAGGGGACCUUCGGGCCUGGCGCGCUUGUAUGAGCAGAUGUCGGAUUAGCUAGUUGACGGGGUAAAGGGCCACCAAUGCGACGAUCGUGAGCUGGUCUGAGAGGAUGAGCAGCCACACUGGAACUGAGACACGGUCCAGACUCCUACGGGGGGCAGCAGUGGGGAAUAUUGGACAAUGGGCGCAAGCCUGAUCCAGCCAUACCGCGUGGGUGAAGAAGGCCUUCGGGUUGUAAAGCCCUUUUGUUGGGAAAGAAAUCCAGCUGGCUAAUACCCGGUUGGGAUGACGGUACCCAAAGAAUAAGCACCGGCUAACUUCGUGCCAGCCGCCGCGGUAA
rnacentral:rRNA from 1 species